rnacentral:lncRNA from 1 species
GGACAAAGUUUCAUCAAGACCAGCACCCGAAGUCAUCUCAGUCUACUCAUAGUGUGCCUCCACCUCCUCCUCCGACAACCCCUACUCAGCCUCCUCCUCAGCCACUUUCACCAUCUCCUGCUCAGCCUUCACCAUCUCCUGCAUAAGAAAGGGUGAUUGAUAAGUGGUAUAUUUUUAUAUUUAUUAUAGGUAUUUUUGGUAAUUUAUGGUGCU